AGGCAGCAGUGGGGAAUAUUGCGCAGUGGACGAAAGUCUGACGCAGCGACGCCGCGUGAGGGAUGAAGGUUUUCGGAUCGUAAACCUCUGUCAGGAGGGAAGAAAGCGUAUGGCGCCAAUCAGCCAUGCGUUGACGGUACCUCCAAAGGAAGCGCCGGCUAACUCCGUGCCAGCAGCCGCGGUAAU
rnacentral:rRNA from 1 species